rnacentral:rRNA from 1 species
GACGAACGCUGGCGGCGUGCUUAACACAUGCAAGUCGAACGGAAAGGCCCUGCUUUUGUGGGGUGCUCGAGUGGCGAACGGGUGAGUAACACGUGAGUAACCUGCCCUUGACUUUGGGAUAACUUCAGGAAACUGGGGCUAAUACCGGAUAGGAGCUCCUGCUGCAUGGUGGGGGUUGGAAAGUUUCGGCGGUUGGGGAUGGACUCGCGGCUUAUCAGCUUGUUUGUGGGGUAGUGGCUUACCAAGGCUUUGACGGGUAGCCGGCCUGAGAGGGUGACCGGCCACAUUGGGACUGCGAUACGGCCCAGACUCCUACGGGAGGCAGCAGUGGGGAAUAUUGCACAAUGGGCGGAAGCCUGAUGCAGCAACGCCGCGUGCGGGAUGACGGCCUUCGGGUUGUAAACCGCUUUCGCCUGUGACGAAGCGUGAGUGACGGUAAUGGGUAAAGAAGCACCGGCUAACUACGUG